GCAACAGAUGUUAGCUCAGGGCUAAUCUUCCUCAAAAAAAAAGAAAGAAAGAAAGAACAACGUGGGUGCACAUUACAGUCAUGCACGGGCAUGGAACUUGUUUCACUGGAAGCGUCUGUGAUGGGCGCCCGUGAAGGGCUGUGUUGUGUGUGCGUUUCACAGGGAGAAGCUGAGUUCAGCGUACGGGACGUGCAUGAAAUAGUCGUUUUAUUCUCCUUCUUUUCGUGAACCCGUUCUGCGUGGCUCCCCAGAGCGGUGGCGGGCUUCCUGCUCCUGGAUGCAAUGUGAGUUUUUCUGGAGGGUUAGCUUGGAGAUUGACCAGCUGUGAGGUUCGUCCUCCAGCCAACUCCAGGUCCUUCUCUUCUGAUUUCCAAGAGAUUUCCGUGACGGCGUAGCGGGAAGACGUGCAUCUGGGUCGUCAUCCUGGGAGCACUCCAGCCUGUGAAGGGCUCUCCCAUUUGGUGCGAUAUCACGGCAGAAAACAAACACACCCCACGUUGGUAUAAUUGUGGAUGAUCUUUGACCCCAUCCCAAAAGCCAACCAGGGGUCAUUUCCUAAUGGCUAAGUCGCGAUGUGGAAUCUGGAGUCAAAAUCCGUGAAAUAUUCUUGUUGUGUGCAAUGAACAUUGAUUGGUGGAUAUAUCAUCUGGAAAAGACCGUGAGCUCGUGGGUCCUUUGGAAACUACGGGCUCCCCGAGUCAUGGAGGUCUUCCAAACGUUGACACAUUUCAUUCUCCAACAUCCUGGAAAAAA